ACAGUGGUAUUUAAAACAAGAAGGGGGGAACAAUCUAUGUGCAUAUUACGUAUGCAAAUUCAUGAUGGCACAAGUCAAUCAAACACCCACAGAGACGCUCAGAGUACGUUACAUGUCUCUUUUCAUUAUCUCCUGAAUUAUAUUGAAAAACUUAGAUAACUAAUAUCUUUUUUAUUUAUUUCAAAUUAAAGACCGAAUGGCUGAGGGAAAAGGUCCUACAACAAGACCGAAUCAAAGCUAUCCAAG
rnacentral:lncRNA from 1 species